rnacentral:hammerhead_ribozyme from 1 species
AUCCAACUGAUGAGUCCCAAAUAGGACAAAACGCGAGUCAAACUAGAU